rnacentral:rRNA from 1 species
GACAGAGGUGCCAAGCGUUAGGCGGAAUCACUGGGCUUAAAGCGUGCGCAGGCGGUUCGUUAAGUCAGCUGUGAAAGCCCCGGGCUCAACCUGGGAAUGGCGGUUGAAACUGGCGAACUAGAAUCUGGCAGAGGGGGGUGGAGUUCCACGUGUAGCAGUGAAAUGCGUAGAGAUGUGGAGGAACACCGAUGGCGAAGGCAGCCCCCUGGGCUGAGAUUGACGCUCAGGCACGAAAGCGUGGGGAGCAAACAGG